UAUUCUCAACCUCUUGGAUUUAUUUUCAAUGAGGAUUGGAUUUGGGAGCUUGCCGGCCCCUUCGGGUCUGGCUCUCCUUGAAGUCAUUAGCUGGACCCAAUGCUCCGAGUGGUUCACGGUGUUGAUACACUAUCUACGCCCUGGUAAUGCCGACUCAUGAGUUUGCGGUAUGGCUUAUAAUCAUCUUCGGACAAGUUUACUUUACG
rnacentral:misc_RNA from 1 species